UACGAAGGGGGCAAGCGUUGUUCGGAAUUACUGGGCGUAAAGGGCGCGUAGGCGGCUUAUCAAGUCAGGCGUGAAAUUCCCGGGCUCAACCUGGGGGCUGCGCUUGAUACUGAUGAGCUUGAAUGCGGGAGAGGAUAGUGGAAUUCCCAGUGUAGAGGUGAAAUUCGUAGAUAUUGGGAAGAACACCGGUGGCGAAGGCGGUUGCCUGGGGCUUUGCUGACGCUGAUGCGCGAAAGCGUGGGGAGCGAUCCGG
rnacentral:rRNA from 1 species